GACGAACGCUGGCGGCGUGCUUAACACAUGCAAGUCGAACGGUCCUGUUUUUGAAGCGCUUCGGCGUGGAGGGAGCGGGUUAGUGGCGCACGGGUGAGUAAUGCGCGAGGACCUGCCCGCGGGAGGGGGACAGCAGUUGGAAACGGCUGGUGAUACCCCGUAAGCCGGGAGGUAAAAGGGCGGAGACGCCCGCCUGCGGAUGGACUCGCGUCCUAUCAGCUAGUUGGUGAGGCAACGGCUCACCAAGGCGACGACGGGUAGCCGGCCUGAGAGGGUGUCCGGCCACACUGGAACUGAGACACGGUCCAGACUCCUACGGGAGGCAGCAGUGGGGAAUUUGGGCAAUGGGGGAGACCCUGACCCAGCGACGCCGCGUGAGGGACGAAGGCCCUUGGGUCGUAAACCUCUUUUGCAGGGGAAGAAGAAGAUGACGGUACCUUGCGAACAAGUCCCGGCUAACUACGUG
rnacentral:rRNA from 1 species